GACGAACGCUGGCGGCGUGCUUAACACAUGCAAGUCGAACGGAAAGGCCCUGCUUUUGUGGGGUGCUCGAGUGGCGAACGGGUGAGUAACACGUGAGUAACCUGCCCUUGACUUUGGGAUAACUUCAGGAAACUGGGGCUAAUACCGGAUAGGAGCUCCUGCUGCAUGGUGGGGGUUGGAAAGUUUCGGCGGUUGGGGAUGGACUCGCGGCUUAUCAGCUUGUUGGUGGGGUAGUGGCUUACCAAGGCUUUGACGGGUAGCCGGCCUUAGAGGGUGACCGGCCACAUUGGGACUGAGAUACGGCCCAGACUCGUACAGGAGGCAGCAGUGGGGAAUAUUGCACAAUGGGCGGAAGCCUGAUGCAGCAACGCCGCGUACGGGAUGACGGCCUUCGGGUUGUAAACCGCUUUCGCCUGUGACGAAGCGUGAGUGACGGUAAUGAGUAAAGAAGCACCGGCUAACUACGUG
rnacentral:rRNA from 1 species